GCAUUAUGGAUCAAAUCUUUAGUACUGCAUUAAGGUUAUUGUAGUUAACUAAAACUAAAAAUAGAUGUGAAAAAACAUUUUAAUGAAUUAGAAAUUUGGAGAAUUUGGGAUUUUUAUUUGUUAUGCUAGUAGCAGCCAAUUACCCUUGAGAAGCUAGCCUUGGCAGAGACAGGACUGAUAAGCUCACUCCUUUCUAACUCCAUACACUCACACUCCGAGUUUUCACAGUUGUAGUAUUCAGGACCAGCUGGCGCUGACUCAAGUGACAUCAGACUUCAAGUCCAUAGAUAAAGCAAAAAAAGAGGAGGAUUAGGUGGAGGAAGAAGAAGAGGGAGGACAAGAUCAGUGCCCUGGCGUCAGAUCAGGCCACAGGAGUUUGCUUCUAUAUAUAAUGACAACAAAGUGACAUACCACUAAAGAAAGCAGAAUCCAUCUCUAUCUGCAAUCCAUCUCUGUUUAUGUGACCCAAACCCAGUGCUUCCCCCCCUUACUAGAAAACCUGCCCUGAAAAUUUAUUGCAAACACAUUUCUUUUUCGGAAGAGGAGGAUUAGGAGAGAGAAGAAGAAGAAGAAGAGGGAGAAGGAAGCUGACUCUGGAACAUCAUGUGCAAAAAGAACAGGCUGCAGUGGUUGGUAUGAGAUGAAAAGAGACUGCAUAAAACAUGUACUGGUGGCUUGCU